UGAGGAAUCUUCCACAAUGGACGAAAGUCUGAUGGAGCAACGCCGCGUGCAGGAUGACGGCCUUCGGGUUGUAAACUGCUUUUAUAUGGGAAGAUUAUGACGGUACCAUAUGAAUAAGGACCGGCUAACUACGUGCCAGCAGCCGCGGUAAUACGUAGGGUCCAAGCGUUAUCCGGAAUCACUGGGCGUAAAGCGUACGUAGGCGGCGCGUUAAGUGCAACGCGAAAUCUGGUGGCUCAACCAUCUAGACUGUGUUGCAUACUGGCGUGCUUGAGGAUGGCAGAGGCAAGUGGAAUUGGUAGUGUAGCAGUGAAAUGCGUAGAUAUUACCAGGAACACCAAUGGCGAAGGCAGCUUGCUGGGCCAUAUCUGACGCUGAGGUACGAAAGCGUGGGGAGCGAACAGG
rnacentral:rRNA from 1 species